rnacentral:rRNA from 1 species
AUUGAACGCUGGCGGAAUGCUUUACACAUGCAAGUCGAACGGCAGCACGGGGGCAGCCCUGGUGGCGAGUGGCGAACGGGUGAGUAAUACAUCGGAACGUGCCCGGUCGUGGGGGAUAACGUAGCGAAAGUUACGCUAAUACCGCAUACGAUCUGAGGAUGAAAGCGGGGGACCUUCGGGCCUCGCGCGAUCGGAGCGGCCGAUGUCAGAUUAGGUAGUUGGUGGGGUAACGGCCUACCAAGCCGACGAUCUGUAGCUGGUCUGAGAGGACGACCAGCCACACUGGGACUGAGACACGGCCCAGACUCCUACGGGAGGCAGCAGUGGGGAAUUUUGGACAAUGGGCGCAAGCCUGAUCCAGCCAUUCCGCGUGCAGGACGAAGGCCUUCGGGUUGUAAACUGCUUUUGUACGGAACGAAAAGGCUCUGGCUAAUACCUGGGGCUCAUGACGGUACCGUAAGAAUAAGCACCGGCUAGCUACGUG